rnacentral:rRNA from 1 species
CAACGCCGCGUGGAGGAUGAAAUCCCUUGGGAUGUAAACUCCUUUCGAUAGGAAGAUAAUGACGGUACCUAUAGAAGAAGCCCCGGCUAACUUCGUGC